rnacentral:misc_RNA from 1 species
UAUUUUAAUUAGGAUUUAGAUUAUGCCUUCCUAUUUUAUUUAGGAUUCCAAUUUUGGAUAUAACUAAAUUUCCUAUUUUAGUUAAGAUUUAUAUUUUCCUAUUAGGAUUAGGAGAUUAAAUCUCUAUAAAUACUCAUAUAUCCUAUGCAUUUUCUGUUUUUAGAGAUUUAGUUAAUAAAAUUGUACAGAUUUUUUUUUCUCUUAAUACUUGUGUAUUAUGUGUGGACAAUGUUCUAUUUGAGCUUCACACUAUGUCAAUUCUCCGCAUCCAUAUCUUGGAAAGAGUGAGUUAUUUAU